UAAGUACUCCCUCCGUCUGAAAAUAUUUGUCAUUAAAAUGGACAAAAAAGGAUGUAUCUAGAACUAAAAUACAUCUAGAUACAUCUCCUUUUAUUCAUUUUGAUGACAAGUAUUUCCGAACGGAGGGAGUAUAUG
rnacentral:pre_miRNA from 1 species